ACUAUUUUGACAGAAAACAUGUGAUGGUUUUAGAAGUCAUUUAUGUAUAUUUAUUAUACAGAUAGUA
rnacentral:tRNA from 2 species